UGAGGCAAUAGUUCUUCAUUGCUCUGUGUUUCUUGUGUAUCACUCCGCCAGAAAAGUAGAGACCUGUGUAUGUGUUUCAUGUUUCCAACAAAGGUAUCACUCCGCCAGAAAAGUAGAGACCUGUGUAUGUGUUUCAUGUUUCCAACAAAGAUAUGU